UCUCCACACUAGUCAUUAUUUUCAAGACUAGACUACUACCCAUCCUCAGAAGAGUUAUUCAUUGCUAGGUAUUUGCUCCUGCAGAACUAGAAUCAAGAAACCCUAAAGGAACUUGCCAGUUAGAUGUCAUGGUGAAAGGUCAAGAGGAACACUUAAGCUCAGGACAAUCAUCAUGGGCCAAGUCUGCCACAGAAAGCAAGUACUGGACUGAAGCCAGUUCCCAACCUGAGGUCUCAGGAGAUCUAUAUCUUGAACCCUUUUGUUGAGUGAGAGUGACCUGGUUUUUGCAACCAAAAGACAGAGCUUAUGAUAGCAACCUAAGUUAAAAUCUUAUAUCAAGACCUACCACUGACAUAUUUAGUAAGGAUAAAAC
ensembl:lncRNA novel transcript